GGACUACUGGGGUUUCUAAUCCUGUUUGCUCCCCACGCUUUCGUGCUUCAGCGUCAGUGUCAUCCCAGGGGGCUGCCUUCGCCAUCGGUAUUCCUCCACAUCUCUACGCAUUUCACUGCUACACGUGGAAUUCUACCCCCCUCUGACGCACUCUAGCUUGACAGUUUCCAAUGCCGUUCCCAGGUUGAGCCCGGGGAUUUCACAUCAGACUUUUCAAACCGCCUACGCACCCUUUACGCCCAGUUAUUCCGAUUAACGCUCGCACCCUACGUAUUACCGCGGCUGCUGGCAC
rnacentral:rRNA from 1 species